ACAUACGACCAUAGGAUGUGGAAAACAGGGCUUCCCGUCCGCUCAGCCGUACUUAAGCCACACGCCGGCAGGUUAGUAGUUGGGUGGGUGACCACCAGCGAAUCCCUGCUGUCGUAUGUU
rnacentral:rRNA from 1 species